UACGUAGGGGGCUAGCGUUGUCCGGAAUCAUUGGGUACGUAAAGAGCGUGUGAGCGGUCCGGUAAGUCCGUUGUGAAAGUCAGGGGCUCAACCCUUGAAUGCCGGCGGAUACUGUCGGGCUAGAGUCCGGAAGAGGCGAGUGGAAUUCCCGGUGUAGCGGUGAAAUGCGCAGAUAUCGGGAGGAACACCUAUGGCGAAGGCAGCUCGCUGGGACGGUACUGACGCUGAGACGCGAAAGCGUGGGGAGCAAACAGG
rnacentral:rRNA from 1 species